rnacentral:rRNA from 1 species
CAUGCAAGUCGAGCGCACCUUCGGGUGAGCGGCGGACGGGUUAGUAACGCGUGGGGAUAUACCCCAAAGGUACGGAAUAGCCUCUGGAAACGGGAGAGUAAUACCCGUAUUGUGCCCUUUCGGGGGAAAAGAUUUUUCGCUUUUGGAUUAGCCCCCGCGUUUGGAUUAGGUAGUUGGGUGGGGGUAAAUGGCCCUACCCAAGCCCUACGGAUCCCAUAGCUGGGUUUGGAGAGGAUUGAUCAGCAACACCUGGGACUGAGACACCGGCCCCAGACUCCCUACGGGAGGGCAGCAGUGGGGGAAUCUUUAGACCANGUGGGCGGCAAGCCCUGAUCUAGGCCAUGCCCCCGUGAGUGACGAAGGCCUUAGGGUCGUAAAGCUCUUUCGCCCAGAGAAUGAUAAUGACAGUAUCUGGUAAAGAAACCCCGGCUAACUCCGUGCCAGCAGCCGCGGUAAUACGGAGGGGGUUAGCGUUGUUCGGAAUUACUGGGCGUAAAGCGUACGUAGGCGGAUUAGUCAGUCAGAGGUGAAAUCCCAGGGCUCAACCCUGGAACUGCCUUUGAUACUGCUAGUCUUGAGUUCGAGAGAGGUGAGUGGAAUUCCAAGUGUAGAGGUGAAAUUCGUAGAUAUUUGGAGGAACACCAGUGGCGAAGGCGGCUCACUGGCUCGAUACUGACGCUGAGGUACGAAAGUGUGGGGAGCAAACAGGAUUAGAUACCCUGGUAGUCC